rnacentral:rRNA from 1 species
UACAUGCAAGUUGAGCGCUGAAGGUUGGUACUUGUACCGACUGGAUGAGCAGCGCACGGGUGAGUAACGCGUGGGGAAUCUGCCUUUGAGCGGGGCAUAACAUUUGGAAACGAAUGCUAAUACCGCAUAAAGACUUUAAACACAAGUUUUAAGUUUGAAAGAUGCAAUUGCAUCACUCAAAGAUGAUCCCGCGUUGUAUUAGCUAGUUGGUGAGGUAAAGGCUCACCAAGGCGAUGAUACAUAGCCGACCUGAGAGGGUGAUCGGCCACAUUGGGACUGAGACACGGCCCAAACUCCUACGGGAGGCAGCAGUAGGGAAUCUUCGGCAAUGGACGAAAGUCUGACCGAGCAACGCCGCGUGAGUGAAGAAGGUUUUCGGAUCGUAAAACUCUGUUGGUAGAGAAGAACGUUGGUGAGAGUGGAAAGCUCAUCAAGUGACGGUAACUACCCAGAAAGGGACGGCUAACUACGUGCCAGCAGCCGCAGUAAUACGUAGGUCCCGAGCGUUGUCCGGAUUUAUUGGGCGUAAAGCGGGCGCAGGUGGUUUAUUAAGUCUGGUGUAAAAGGCAGUGGCUCAACCAUUGUAUGCAUUGGAAACUGGUAGACUUGAGUACAGGAGAGGAGAGUGGAAUUCCAUGUGUAGCGGUGAAAUGCGUAGAUAUAUGGAGGAACACCGGUGGCGAAAGCGGCUCUCUGGCCUGUAACUGACACUGAGGCUCGAAAGCGUGGGGAGCAAACAGGAUUAAAUACCCUGGUAGUC